UUAAUGCAUAUCACUAACUCAACCCCGGGGCACCGCUCCCCGGAGUUCGUGUCCCUCCUCUUGCAGGUUUUGAAAUAUUACAGGAUGGGUCUGGAUCAUGAACCGUGACAGAGCCUGUUGCCGUGUUCCUGCUCGAAGCCCAUCGUAAUGUCUUUGGAGUAACAGGGACAUUUUCUGACAACAUCAUGGAUCCUUCAUUUUCAUGUAGGUCAACUUUGUCAUUUUUAUUGUCUUUGCAGGAAUUGCAGUUUUUUUUUUCUCCAAAAAGUUGAUGUUUAAUUGAUUUAAACGCACUUUUUGAAGCAUUGAACGUGGUUGUUAUGGGGUUGUUUGUGAAUAUGGUAGUUUUGGCUGUCGUUUGAGGUGGUCAAGGCGGUUGUGUUUGCGGUCGUUUUUUGAGAUGGUGAAGGCGUUGUGUGUGAUGUGGUGAACACAGUUGUUUUGGCGGUCGUUUGAGGUGAUGGUUUUGGCGGUCGCUUAAGGUGGUAGUUUUGGCGGUCUGAGGUGGUGAACUAGGUUGUUUUGGUGGUCUGAGGUGGUUAAGGCAGUUUUGGCGCUGGUUCGAUGUGGAAUCCUCUGUUAGUACACAGUGUUUAACUUGUUUUAAUGCUGGUCUCCAUCCCCUUUGCAGCUUUAGCUCAGGCUGACCUUGGACCAGCCCCUAGUUUAUGCUCCUAUAGGCAUAGGCUUAGACUUCCUCUCUAUGUAUACAUUCAUUAAUGCAUAUCACUAACUCAACCCCCGGGGCAUCGCUCCCCGGAGUUUAUGUGUCCCUCCUCUUGCAGGUUUGCAGUAUUACAGGAUUGGUCUGGAUCAUGAACCGUGACUAGGCCUGUUGCCGUGGUCCUGCUCGAAGCCCAUCAAGACCCCGAGAUACUUGAACUCCUUCACUUGGGGGUUCGCCGUUUCCCUGGGGACUCUUUACUGUGACGGACCCUGGGAACUAUGACGGGAGAACAGGAAGAGGUUGGCGUGCCAAUCCAGCCCCCCGACAUUUAGGAUUAAUGUGUUUCUCAUACUGACGUCAACCAUUCAAUAAACGGGUUUGAA